rnacentral:lncRNA from 1 species
GUUGUAACUGCUGUUUUUAUAUAAUUAAUUUGGUCAGUUUCAUAAAAUUCUUUUUAUAAUGGUCAAGAGUGGACAAUACACAACAAUAAUCUUCAUACAAGCCAACAAGGUCAAUACCCGAUUAGAGUUAGUAAACAAAAAGCAAUAGAUCACCCAAGGACAUUGGCUGAGAUAAAUAUACUGUACUUAUACAAAAAUAUCA